GGGCCCGCACAAGCAGUGGAUUAUGUGGUUUAAUUCGACGCAACGCGAAGAACCUUACCAGGAUUUGACAUCCAACUAACGAAGUAGAGAUACAUUAGGUGCCCUUCGGGAAAGUUGAGACAGGUGGUGCAUGGUUGUCGUCAGCUCGUGUCGUGAGAUGUUGGGUUAAGUCCGCAACGAGCGCAACCCCUAUUGUUAGUUGCUACGCAAGAGCACUCUAGCGAGACUGCCGUUGACAAACGGAGGAAGGCGGGG
rnacentral:rRNA from 1 species